UACCUAACCAGAAAGCCACGGCUAACUACGUGCCANGCAGCGCGGUUAAUACGUAGGUGGCCAAGCGUUGUCCGGGAAUUAUUGGGCGUAAAGGGCUCGCAGGCGGUUUCUUAAGUCUGAUGUGAAAGCCCCCGGCUCAACCGGGGGAGGGUCAUUGGAAACUGGGAAACUUGAGUGCAGAAGAGGAGAGUGGAAUUCCACGUGUAGCGGUGAAAUGCGUAGAGAUGUGGAGGAACACCAGUGGCGAAGGCGACUCUCUGGUCUGUAACUGACGCUGAGGAGCGAAAGCGUGGGGAGCGAACAGGAUUAGAUACCCUGGUAGUCCACGCCGUAAACGAUGAGUGCUAAGUGUUAGGGGGUUUCCGCCCCUUAGUGCUGCAGCUAACGCAUUAAGCACUCCGCCUGGGGAGUACGGUCGCAAGACUGAAACUCAAAGGAAUUGACGGGGGCCCGCACAAGCGGUGGAGCAUGUGGUUUAAUUCGAAGCAACGCGAAGAACCUUACCAGGUCUUGACAUCCUCUGACAACCCUAGAGAUAGGGCUUUCCCUUCGGGGACAGAGUGACAGGUGGUGCAUGGUUGUCGUCAGCUCGUGUCGUGAGAUGUUGGGUUAAGUCCCGCAACGAGCGCAACCCUUGAUCUUAGUUGCCAGCAUUCAGUUGGGCACUCUAAGGUGACUGCCGGUGACAAACCGGAGGAAGGUGGGGAUGACGUCAAAUCAUCAUGCCCCUUAUGACCUGGGCUACACACGUGCUACAAUGGACAGAACAAAGGGCUGCAAGACCGCAAGGUUUAGCCAAUCCCAUAAAUCUGUUCUCAGUUCGGAUCGCAGUCUGCAACUCGACUGCGUGAAGCUGGAAUCGCUAGUAAUCGCGGAUCAGCAUGCCGCGGUGAAUACGUUCCCGGGCCUUGUACACACCGCCCGUCACACCACGAGAGUUUGCAACACCCGAAGUCGGUGAAGGUAACCUUUAUGGAGCCAGCCGCCGAAGCNGACA
rnacentral:rRNA from 1 species